rnacentral:lncRNA from 1 species
GGCUAAAUUUCAUUCAUUCAUUCUGUUAUUUGCAAUUCACAACUCAACUAGAUCUAAUAUCAAAUACCAUCCUAUAACAAUACUGAUAAUUAUUUAACAAUUACAAUCUAUCAUAAUGAAUGUAGAAGUUGGAAUUAAAUAACAAUAAACCAGGCAACAAGACGACAACUAACUAGUUGGACCUGCUAUAUUUUCCCACUUUAUUUUAGUUGCAGAGAUGUAAAGAGAAGCUUUCUCGUCGAUUCUAGGAUCAGCCACAUAUCGGUCUUUGUCUUGAUCACUAGGCCACACUUUGUAAGCCUUUAAAGAAUCUGGAGGAGUUGUAUCUUCAGCUGCCCUUCGACCCCUCGAGCUUUUGCCUUUGAAGAUGUUAAAAAGAGAGAGAGGAUUAGAAGAAGACUUCUUCUGCCUGUUGUUUCCUGCCAUAUUUACAGGAGACUAGGAGGGUUUUUGAGGGGAUUAAGAAGAAGGUUUUUUGAUUUCCCAAUCGUUGUGAAGUUGUGGUAUUUAUAUUUCCUGAGGCGGGGAAUCAAGGGUGGUGGAGAAUCAAUAUAUAGAUCUGAAGACCAAUAAUCAGAUUGAUGGCUGUGCUUAAAGGGAAUGAAAUUAUACUUUCUGCUCGUAAAUACUUACACAAAGAACAUGUAUUCUGGACCGCUUCUUCC